AACGAAUGCUGGCGGCAGGCCUUACACAUGCAAGUCGAACGUGAAAGUCCUUCGGGAUGAGUAAAGUGGCGCACGGGUGAGUAACGCGUGGGAACAUGCCCUUCAGUACGGGAUAACAGCGGGAAACUGCUGCUAAUACCGUAGAUUCCCUACGGGGGAAAGAUUUAUCGCUGAAGGAUUGGCCCGCGUUAGAUUAGCUAGUUGGUGUGGUAAUGGCUCACCAAGGCUACGAUCUAUGGCCGGUCUGAGAGGACGAUCGGCCUCACUGGAACUGAGACACGGUCCAGACUCCUACGGGAGGCAGCAGUGGGGAAUAUUGGACAAUGGGCGAAAGCCUGAUCCAGCCAUGCCGCGUGAGUGAUGAAGGCCUUAGGGUUGUAAAGCUCUUUUGGCGGGGAAGAUAGUGACGGUACCCGCAGAAUAAGCCCCGGCUAACUUCGUGCCAGCAGCCGCGGUAA
rnacentral:rRNA from 1 species